GUUUGUCAUUUUUUUUAUAAAAAAAAUCGGCUAUGAUGUGUGUUUGGUUUUUAAUGGGUUUUGAUAACGAAAAGUAUGAUGAGAGUGAAGAUUUAAUUGUACAAGGACCUGUGUUUGUAGUUCAUGUUUCAAGACCAGCUGAAGUUGAACAGACGUGGAAGGAUCUUCCUAUAAUUAUGAUGGAGCAGGAGAUCAUGGAGACUAUCAAUUAUCAUCCCACCGACCGGUUGUGGUAAAACCACUCAAGUUCCUCAGCCACGUCGUGUGGCUGUCCUCGCCACUGCCAAGAGGGUGGCUCAUGAGCUUGGUGUUCGUCUCGGUCAAGAAGUUGGUUUCCAAGUUAAGUACGGUAAAAAACUUGGCUAGAAUUCAUCUAUCAAGUUUUAUGACCGAUGGGAUUUUGUAGUUUCUUUUUUUUUUUUCAUCUCAAAUGUAUGUAAGAUCGGGUAUUUUGUAUGAAGUUUCUUUUUGUUGCAGAAUGAUCUCUCACUGAGGCUUUACUCUGUGAUCAUUCUUGAUGAAGCUCAUGAAAGAAUCUUGAAAACAGACAUACAUUCUAAUUGGGAUGCUCACUCGAGCCAUCAAAAUCAGAGAGGAACUCUACAAGGAUCAGUUUUUUAUCAAAAAAAAAACUCUACAAGGAUCAGUUGCAAAAAAAAAAAAAAAAAAAAAA